rnacentral:miRNA from 1 species
UUAGAUUGCAUUUUACCCCUU